rnacentral:rRNA from 1 species
AUGGACAACCCCCUCCCGCGGCCGCGCAGGCCCGUCGUCCUGAUCGCCUCCUGCGCGCUGAUCCUCCUCGCCACCGCCCUCCUCCUCCCGCGCGCUCCCGCCGUCCCGCCGCUGACCCCGGCCAUUCGCCUCGACCCGCGGGUCGCGCGCAGGAGCGGCAACGAGGUGCUGUGGCAGCUCCCCCCAGGCCCGCCGCGCGCCGCCAUGUUCAUCGCCCCCGGAUGCACCAUCCGCGCCACCGACUUCUUCGACGCCUCCCCCGGCUGCCCGCGCUGCGCGGGGCUCCCCGAGGAGCGCCGGUUCACGCGCGAGGCGCUCCGCCGAGGCUACGCCGUCCUCGCCGUCUCCAGCCGCGCCGAGUGCUGGUCCCUCGACCCCGCCUCCGCCUCCGGCGACGGCAGCGAGCUCGCCGCCGUCAGUUCCAUCAUCGAAUGGUGGGUCAAGGAGCAGCACCCCGAGCUCGGCGGCCUCCCGCUCGUCGGCAUCGGCGCGUCGUCGGGCGGGUACUUCGUCUCCGCUCUGGCGGCGAGGGUCAGGUUCAGCAGCGUGGCCAUCGUGAUUGCCGAGGGCGUGUUCGCCGCCAUGGAGGAAAUCCCGCCCGGCUACCCGCCGGCGCUGUUCGUGCACAUGCCCAGGGACGCCAAAAGGGCGCAGAUGGUGGCGGCAAGCAUAGGCAAGCUCAAGUCAACGCACGUUGAUGUGCGGGAGAUCCAGUGCGAUGCCUUUGCCGUGAGUGCCGACUUCUUGGCGGCGAGGAUACCGGGGUUGACCCCGACCGUCGCCGAUGGCCUUGUGGACGUGCUUCGCCAGAAGUCGUUCUUGGAUGAGAAGGGGUUUCUGAAGAACGAUGGGAGGAGCACACCGUGGAAAGAGGCGGCGGAGGAAGCCAAGAUCUUGCCGGAGGGGUUCCGGCUGGAGAGGCAUGUCACGGAGGAGUUGAAUAUUGCAUAUGCAUACCAUGAAUUUACCAGCCUGCAGAAUGAGGAGAUCUUCAAAUGGUUCGAUUCCCACAUGGAUCACAAGAUUUGA